rnacentral:rRNA from 1 species
UACGGAGGGUGCAAGCGUUGUCCGGAUUUAUUGGGUUUAAAGGGUGCGUAGGCGGUCUUUUAAGUCAGUGGUGAAAGCCUCCAGCUUAACUGGAGAAAUGCCAUUGAUACUGGGAGACUUGAGUACAGACGAGGUAGGCGGAAUUGACAGUGUAGCGGUGAAAUGCAUAGAUAUUGUCAAGAACACCGAUUGCGAAGGCAGCUUACUAGACUGUAACUGACGCUGAGGCACGAAAGUGUGGGGAUCAAACAAG